rnacentral:lncRNA from 1 species
CAAAUCAGAAAUCGCCGCCGCCGCUCCUGAAAUUCUGGUGAACGGCGAUCGAUCCUCCUCCCUUACCUCCAUCCUUGCCUUCCUUCGCUUUCAAUUUCUUGAAUUCAAGCUCGAGGAAAAAGGGGGAGCGAGCCCUAAUACUCUCGCAUGUGCUUCGAUCUGCUGCUGCCGCCGCGGGACCUGUGAACGGCCGCCGCCUUCCUCCAUGAUGUCGCUGCUUCCGUAAUCCGAUGAGAGUCGAUCUUGAAGUCCACUAAAGAAGAUAACUGAAGAGCCCUAGCUUUCCCUUGUCCGUCGAAUUUCUGUCACCGCUGCUGGGCACGAGUUCAGCGCGCCACUGCACGUCGCCAUGGUUCGCCGUCACGGUUGAGUCUUCGCUCGAUCAUCGCCUCGUGGCUCGAACGAACAGGGCCGCGUCCCAUUUUCUAAAGCUAAGUCCUACUCUCUUCUACUUCAGUUUCUAAUUGUUAAGGUGGUAGGGGUUCUCAUGGCUUUGGUUCUAUGUACAGUGGUAAUAUCUCAAUGUAUGAAUCAUACUAUUCCGUGAACUGUCAUAAAUCAUGUAUUCGCAUAUGUGAGUUGCUAUGAGUCCUAUAGACAUGAAUACAACAGGGAAGUAACUGAUGCUAUUUGUUAUAGAGUAUGUAACUUUGCUAAGUUUAUCAAGCUUAUGGUCAUCUAUCAUUUGAAUCGGAUCAUGCUUAAUGGUAUGAAUGCAAACUGGAUUGAAUAUGUGGGACAACAGUAAUACCUUGAGAAUAUUUGUGUUGGUUGACUGUUGUGAUAUUGGUGAUUGAGAUGGGGAAUAACUGAAAUAUGAUGAAGGUGUUAUUGCUUUAAAAUGCAGGUGGAGGUUAUGGCAGGAGGUGGAAACGUUCAAGCCGAAGCUUACCUUGAGGAUUUGGCAGAAGUUGGGCAGCUCUGUCCCUCACGUUAAUGAAGUCUCAAUGAACUGAAACUUGUUCGGUAUGGCAGCAGGAAGGUCGAG